CUACAUAUAAAACUUUUUUUUUCAGAUUUCUCUAAUCAUACCCAUACUGAUGUUUCUAAUCAAUGUGUACUUGUUUAUCGCCCCUGUCAUUAUUGAGCCAAGUCUCCAGUACAUCUAUGUGGCAAUCAGUAUUCCGGCUUUGUCAAUCUUACUUUACAUUCCUUUGGUCUACUUUCAAAUCAAGAUACCUUUCCACGACGAGAUUGUGACAAGGGUGCAGCUGAUUUUUGAACUGUGUCCUCCAACCCAGGAGAAGUUCUAAGUUACAAUAAAAAAUAAAAUUUCAAAGUAAAGUCA
rnacentral:sRNA from 1 species